UACGGGGGGAGCAAGCGUUGUUCGGAUUUACUGGGCGUAAAGGGCGCGUAGGCGGCCACCGCAAGUCGACUGUGAAAUCUCCGGGCUUAACCCGGAAAGGUCAGCCGAUACUGCGGGGCUAGAGUGCAGAAGGGGCAACUGGAAUUCUCGGUGUAGCGGUGAAAUGCGUAGAUAUCGAGAGGAACACCUGCGGCGAAGGCGGGUUGCUGGGCUGACACUGACGCUGAUGUGCGAAAGCUAGGGAAGCGAACGGG
rnacentral:rRNA from 1 species